rnacentral:rRNA from 1 species
AAAACGACUCUCGACAGCGGAUAUCUCGACUCUCACAUCAAUAAAGAACGCAGAGAACUGCGAUACUUGGUGUGAAUUGCAAAAUCCCGUGAACCAUCGAGUCUAUGAAUGCAAGUUGCGCCCAAAGCCAUCCGGCCGAGGGCACGUCUGCCUGGGGUCACGC